CAAUGUCAUUCUUAGCAUGUGUUUAAGGUUCUAGGUUCAGUUUUGAUAAUUGUUGGACGUAAAUUGAGUAAUUGAACCUAAGUUCGUUACAAUUCGUGGUUAGGUAAAAAUGUGAAUUGACGAUCCGAUCGUUGGAUCGUCACCAAACUUUGAUACAUUGUAAUACGUAAUAUUUAAGGAUUAUAGGAACCUACGGAUCGGGAAUCCGAUAUACGGCUCUUUCGGAAUUGGAGUUGUAAGUUCAUAAUGUAGAAUGUUAACCGUCACUUGGUUUUGGAAAUUGACGGAGAUCCGACCGUUGGAUGGUAAUAAAAUUUUAGGAUGAUGUCCUAGAG
rnacentral:lncRNA from 1 species